rnacentral:rRNA from 1 species
UACGUAGGGUGCAGGCGUUAAUCGGAAUUACUGGGCGUAAAGCGUGCGCAGGCGGUUUUGUAAGUCUGUCGUGAAAGCCCCGGGCUUAACCUGGGAAUUGCGAUGGAGACUGCAAGGCUUGAAUCUGGCAGAGGGGGGUAGAAUUCCACGUGUAGCAGUGAAAUGCGUAGAGAUGUGGAGGAAUACCGAUGGCGAAGGCAGCCCCCUGGGAUAACACUGACGCUCAUGCACGAAAGCGUGGGGAGCAAACAGG